AGGGGGGCAACUUCAACUGUGAAAAUCUCUCUGUACUUCAUUCGGAACCCGAACUCGGAAGUAGGGGGACUGGUGUUGGGUAUAAAAUAAUCUCAGCCAAAGUUCAUAAGAGGCUGACCCUCCCAGGGCUCUUCCGGCUUCCGACCUAGCGCGACGUCUUUCUGAACUCCCUCAGCAGUCUGAGCUCCUAUCAUGCCAUCCGGACUUCUUUGAUAAUGAACUCCUUCAGUCAUCUAUCAGACUGCCCAAAUGCUCUCUGGGCUUCCUUAUCAGCCAACUUUCUACAGUGAUCGAUUACCCUCUGAAUCUCUUUCAGACUUCUCCUGCCAUGAUCGAUUUUACUCCAAACUUCUUUUGGACUUCGUCAAUAUCCGAGCUUCUCCAACAGUAGGACUUCUACAGUAACCAGACUUCAUCCAAAUUUCUACGACAAUCGACCAUCUUCUGAAUUUCAUCCGAGCUCCUACAAGAGUCGGACUCCGUCUGAACUUCUACAGUGGAUGGAUCUCAGACGAACUUCUACAACGGAUGGGCUCCACCAGUCGGAUCUCUACUCCAAACUUCUAUUGCAAGCGGAUUCCAUCUGAGCUUCUAUAAUAAGAAGUCUCCAUCCGAGCUUCCACAGCAAUCGAUCUCCAUCCGAGCUUCUACAGUAAGCGGCCUCCUCCUAGACUCCUACAAGAAUCGGACUCCAUCCGAACUUCUACAAUAGAAUUGAAUUCAAGACCCCUCCAGCGGUCAACCUUUUACAGUAUCCUCAAGACUCCUCUAGCGGAUGAACUCCACAAUGCCUUCCGAGCUCCACGAUCGAUCGACCUUCUACUGGGUUCCUCGUGAAACCAGAUCCCUCCAAC
rnacentral:lncRNA from 1 species